CAAGUAGCCACGGUAAUAUGUAGGGUGCGAGCGUUAAUCGGAAUUACUGGGCGUAAAGCGUGCGCAGGCGGUUGUGUAAGACAGGUGUGAAAUCCCCGGGCUUAACCUGGGAACUGCGCUUGUGACUGCACAGCUAGAGUAUGGCAGAGGGGGGUGGAAUUCCACGUGUAGCAGUGAAAUGCGUAGAGAUGUGGAGGAACACCGAUGGCGAAGGCAGCCCCCUGGGCCAAUACUGACGCUCAUGCACGAAAGCGUGGGGAGCAAACAGGAUUAGAUACCCCUGUAGUCCCUGUCUCUUAUU
rnacentral:rRNA from 1 species